rnacentral:rRNA from 1 species
AUUGAACGCUGGCGGCAGGCUUAACACAUGCAAGUCGAGCGGAGACUUCGGUCUUAGCGGCGAACGGGUGAGUAAUACCUAGGAAUCUGCCUAUUAGUGGGGGAUAACGAAUCGAAAGGUUCGCUAAUACCGCAUACGUCCUACGGGAGAAAGGGGGGGAUCUUCGGACCUCUCGCUAAUAGAUGAGCCUAGGCCGGAUUAGCUAGUUGGUAGGGUAAAGGCCUACCAAGGCGACGAUCUGUAGCUGGUCUGAGAGGAUGGCCAGCCACACUGGGACUGAGACACGGCCCAGACUCCUACGGGAGGCAGCAGUGGGGAAUAUUGGACAAUGGGCGAAAGCCUGAUCCAGCAAUGCCGCGUGAGUGAUGAAGGCCCUAGGGUUGUAAAGCUCUUUUACCCGGGAUGAUAAUGACAGUACCGGGAGAAUAAGCUCCGGCUAACUUCGUGCCAGCAGCCGCGGUAAU